CUGGCCGCUGCUUAAGUAGUAGGUCUCCUAAUCAGGUGAAUCAGCCUCAGGUGUGCAGGAGGCUUCAACUCAGGAGACCCAGGGCGCUCUCUGCUGGAGAAAGGUGGUAGAUCUCCAGAUCCCAACAUGAAUACCUAAAAGUCCGAAAUUCAGCAAUAGGACACGCUGACUGGUUAAAAAUGACAUGGAAAGGGGACGUGAUGGACCAUCCUUGUCCGCAGGACGGUCCAUUGUGGUAAUGAUUGCCAAGGAAGUGAUGAAGGCUUUUCCUGAUCCCCCAACCCUGUCAUUUAGUACUUCCACAAGAGACAUGGCAAAGGAAAGGAGAUCGUUUGCUGAACUUAUUCUCUCAGCAUCUGGU